rnacentral:lncRNA from 1 species
GUCUGCGCCUUCACAGUUUGGUCCCGGGAGCCCUUUCUGGAGUUCUCACCUGUGCUCCUCACAGAUGCACCUGCUAAGCAGGUGUUACUGCCCCACUUUACAGGGGCUGAGGGAGGUGGGGAGCCCUAAGGUUCCGGAGGGAGUAGGAGCUCUGCCUGAGGCGAUGAGGCUGGGCAGACCAGCCGGGAGGGAGGGGGAGGGGAGGAGCUGCUCCUCUCUUCUCACAGGGACAGAGCUCUGCUUGAGGACUUGGCAUCAGGCCCCGGGCCAACCUGUAGGGGAAGGAUCAGGCUGUCCGAACAUUCCCUGAGGGCUGAGCCCUUCUUUCCUUGGGAUCCUGCCAGGCUGGAGAUCUGGUGUGUCAGGGUGGCUGUCUCCAUAGGGAGCACAUGGGUUAAAGGUAUGGCUUUUGGAGUAAGACAGCCUUGAAUCUGAAUCCCAGUUCUAGUUCUUUGUCAAUACGUAGCUUGAAGAGUUCCCUCCGUUCUCAGAUGGAGAAUCAUUGUCCUGUGGGUAGGACAUUGUCGUUCCCCACCCCCCGCCCGCCCGCAGGGCGGGAGAAAGGGGGAAUGAAAUCAUCUCUCUGUUCAUUUGAAGAAAUAGUCAUUGGGCACCUAUUGUGUAUCAGGUGGUGGGACAUGAGAUAAAUGAAAAAUGAAUGUGUUUCCUCAUCGAACUCACACUCAAAAACACAGAUGCAACAAAUGACACAGUAGGCUGCAAGGUGAGGAGCUGGGAUAAGGGGAAGUAGAGCCAGCAGUGGGAGGCAGAGGGGAAGGGGUCAGAGUGAGCACCUUUGAGGUGAUGAGAGAGUUCAGACAUAGGGAACAGUGUUCUGGAUGGAAGGAACAGCGUUGCAAAGUACCUGCAUGGACUGUGCAGGUGACUCAAGCAGCAGUGAAAGCAGAGGGGGUGAGGGGUAGAGUGGAUGAGAAUGUGGUCAGCGAUGUGUGGUGGGGAUGGGGGCUGCCCCUCCUCUGUGACCAAUUCCUCAGGAAUUCACUCCUCUGCAGCUGUGAAACCCCACCUCCUCCUGCUGCCCUUUGUCUCCUUUCUCCUUUCCUGCCAUCACAUGGCCUCUUCCUCAGGUCCUUGGGCCCAGAGGCCUCCCCCAGUAUGGCUUGUGACCCUCUUCCCCACAGGGCAGCCCCCACCCCAGCUGAGCUCCCUGCCUCUGCCUCCUGUUUGAGGAGGGUGCUGUGUCUGCUCUGGCCAGUUUCAGGGAGCAUCACAAAGGCUCCUUUCACCAGAGGGCAUUGUAGGGGGACUGGGAGGGGACGCGGUGCCCUCCUGCCUGUGGGCAUAAAGACCCCCUUUCUCUUGUGCUGCGUCAGUCCUCUGUCUCUCUCUCUACUGGCAGGCAGAGGGGCCCCGUGCAGGGAGAUUCUUGUCCUUCCUUUUAAAGUACUGGGGCCAGGCCAGACAAUGACGGUGAUUUAUAGUUGCUGGGCCGCGGGGCUGCCUGCUGGGGUGGCAUUGAUUGGCCAGGAGUGCCUGGAUGCAGAGAACCCUGCACCACUGGGUCUGGGGGUGUCUGCCUAGGACCCCACAGGGGGAGCCCUGACUUACCAGCUAUUAAGUGAAAGGGUGCUGGUAAUUUCAGACUCCUCCAGCUCUGCUGUGCUGGGCUGCUGCUUCAACUGGCCUCUGCUUGAGUCUGUUAGCUCUGGAUUUCUCAGCCCCAACUCAUGUCAGAACCCUUGCACUGCAGCUCCGACAUUCUGUGCUGGACAGAAACCAGGAAGUGGGAGCACACAGGAGCCACAGGGAUCAUCGGAGGGGAUGAGGGGGAGCUGGGGGAACAACUUAGAGGUAUGAUGCCCACAUAUGCCCGCAGAACAGCUGGAUCUGUGGUGGGGAGUGCUAGAGAGCCGGAGAGAGAGGGAUGGGGAGCGGGUGUGCAAAAGGAGGGAGAGAGAGGAGCCAGGAGAGAGGAACACACACACACAGGAACAAGAGAGAAAUGAUUCAGAGGAAAAGAGAGGGGGAAAGCAGGAGGGGGAGGGGGAGAAUGGGAGAAAGAGGAUGAAAGAGGUGGAGGCCAGAGCCAGGCGGAGCAGAAAGCAGAGCAGGUGAAACGCCAGAGGACUUCUCCCCAGUCCUCACUGACCUUCCCUCCCACUGCCCGCCCCACGCCUGCAUCCCCACCCGAGGCCUCGCUGGCCGGGGAGGGAGGCAGGGGCAUGGUGGGUGCUUGUCUGUCCUGCAGUGGGGAUGAUCUUGUUGGACGUAAGCAGGAACUCUUAUUAUUUAUUUAUUUAUUUUUAUGGCCACCCCUGCAGCAUAUGGAAGUUCCCGGGCAGGCAUUGAAUCCGAGUUGCAGCUCUGACCUGCACUGUAGAUGUGGCAACACUGGACUGUUUAAUCCACUGCACCGGGCCAGGGUUGACCUGAGCCUCUGCAGCGACCUGAGCCACUGCAGUCAGCUUCUUUACCCACUGUGGCACAGUGGGAACUCCUAGAAGGAACUUCUAGAUUAAACAGCAUGACAGGCCCACAAGGGAAGUAGCCCUUCAUUGGAGCCCUGGCCUUCCUGAAGCAGGGGACUGGCCACCAUGACCUCCCGUCUUGUCUUAUUCUGAGUUGAUAGUACCCCCCCGGGAAGAAGGCAGGGUCAUGGUCAGGGGCUUAGGCGCCGGAGUCAAGCUGGGCUGGUGUGGUCACAGCAUCUGUCCAGGUGGGCCUCCUGACCGACCGGCUCCUCUCCACCCCCAGCUUUUGUUCUAGGAAAAGGCAGCUGGGGGAGGGGGUGGAGGGCAGGAGUGUUUCCAGGGAAAAAAACAGAUCCUUCCAUGGAACAGGCAGCUGGCGCCUCCAUCUCCCGCCACUUCACCCCUCCGCCUCCAUCCUGUCCCCCUCCUGCCACCGCCUCCAUUCCUUCCUUCCUCCCCUCUGGCAGGAGGAGCCCAGCAGCUGGAAAAGCCAUGCUCUGCUCCCAACUCCCACCUCAGCAGUGCUGAGCCCAGGGUGGCCCUGCAGAGGGUGUGUGUGUGCGUGUGAGAGAGAGAAAGCACUGCCUGGCCACCAUCGCCUGUAAUGCUGGCAGCGGGAGAGGCAGCCUGAGCUGACCACUUGGAGCCUUGGUUUUGUCAUCUGAAAUAUGGGCAUGACCCUUGCCCUGCUUCCCUAAUAGGGUCACAGAAACCAAGGAGGGAGGGGCAGGAACAUGUCCCUGAGGCCCCCUGAUCCCUCAUACCAGUCAUCAAGGCAGGUGCUGUUAUUAAUGUCCCCUUUUCCCAGCGAGAGCCUGAGGCUCAGAGAUGUAAAGGGCCCACAGCAGGAAGGGUAGCCCAGAGACUGCAGCCCAGUUCCGACCAACACGUUACCCACAAGGCCCCUGGGCGCCGCUUCCUCCCUCCAGGGCUCUGAGGCUCCUAGUCCCUCAUGCUGAAGAACUGCCUCUCCCCAGGGACUGGGGGGCCCUUCCUGACUUAGUGGACUUUCAGCAGGCUGUCUCAGCCUAAAGAAUCCCCACAGCCACCCCCCUCCCCCCGUCCAACUCCUUGUCAUUUAUUUGAGGAGCCUGAGGCCCAGGGGCCUAGAGCUUUAGGUUGCAAAACACGUGGGACAGAACUGGGAUUCCGGCUUCCUGCCUAAUGGUCCUGGCUGUGGGCUGUUUUUCUCUCUUCCUUCCUCUAAGCCCGAACUAGUUCCUGGAAGGGUUAUCAACACAGGCAUGCUCCCCUUCCUCUCUCUUUUCUGCCUGGCCCAAACCCCACCUAACCCUCCCCAAAUGGGGGGCUCAGCUGGGCAGGGAUGCUGAGUGAGGCUUCUGGACAUCCCUUCUGGCUCCCUUUCCCUUUCUGAGGUGUAAGCUCUGCCUCCUGCAGGCUGCUCAGCAGGACCCAGCCCUUCUCCAGACCUCAUCUUCACCCUGACCCCCUCAUCCCAGUGUAAACACCGUGGCCUUUGGCUGAGGCCCCUGAGACCAGCUCCUUGGUUGGUCAGCCUGGAGAUCCCCCCACAACCACCACCACCACCAGGGCACAGGAAACAGCCAGAAACAAGCCCCUUCCCCAGUAUCAACUUUUUCCUGAGUCCAAGUCUGAGGAGGCUUCCAGGAGGAGAAGGGAUUUAGGGAGUGCUUGCCAGUCCGAGGUGGCUUGGGUAGGGAUGGUGCCCAAAGCAGAGAGGGGAGUGAAGGUAGAUGGGGCUGGGGAAAGUUCCAGAACAUACUUGGCACGAGACCUGCAGCCCUCCUAGAGCCGGCUGACCAACACAACCAAAGGGACAGAGGGGGGACACAGCCAGAGGAGACAAGGCCUAGGGGCACAGAUACCAAGUCUGCUGGGAAGACACUGGGGCGGGGGUGACCCCCACGCACCCGGGCUCAGUCCACUGUGUCAACCACUAUCAGCCCUGAAGCUGCUGCUCUCCCUGGGCUCAGCUCAGUCUGUCACAUGUCAUGGCUGUUUUGGGGUGCCCGGUUCUGAGCUCUGGGGUGCCUCAGAUGCCAUACCUGCCCCUGGCAGGUACCACUUGGUGGGGCACUGCACACUCCCUGCAGCAGGAGUGGUUCCUGAUGGCCCAGAUCCCUGGGCUGGUGCUCCCGUCCCUCAGCUGCGUGCUGCUGGUAGUUCUCAGCUCACCCCCUCCAGAGGCUGCCCUUGGCUGAUGCCUGCAGGCAUUGAUAUUACGUGGUGAUGCCUGGGAAGUUAUAAGCAGUGACUGACUGACGUGGGUGGAUAGCAGCCUGGUCCCCUGGUCUCUGGAGUCCACAACUUCUUCGGUGCCAUUCACACUCCGGGAUUCCCAAGAAUCAGGCUGAGGCAAGAUUUCUCCUAAAAUUAUGUCCCGUUCAGCUUCUUCCUCUGCCCUGUUCUGCUUCCCUCACUUUCAUACCGAUUGAAGCUUUCAAUAAAGCACUUGCACAAAAAUUCCAUCUCAGUUUCUGAUUCUAGGGAGCUGACCUCAGAUACCCACAGAACUGACCUGGUCGCUUCUCCUAUAGCAUGGCAUUAGGCCUGGGGAAAGGGGAUGGGAGGCCCAGUCUUAGGGCACAGAAAAGCCUCCCCAAAAAGGUGACAUUUGAAUCAGGGCCUUGAAGGUUGAGUAAAAUUGUUGAGCUGAAUAGUGUCUGCUUCAUUUGAUAAAGUUUGCCUGAUUUAGGGAGUUCCCGUCGUGGCGCAGUGGUUAAUGAAUCCGACUAGGAACCAUGAGGUUGCAGAUUCGAUCCCUGGCCUUGCUAAGUGGGUUAAGGAUCCGGCGUUGCCGUGAGCUGUGGUGUAGGCCGGUGGCUAUAGCUCCGGUUCGACCCCUAGCCUGGGAACUUCCCUAUGCUGUGGGAGUGGCC